UACGUAGGGUGCAAGCGUUGUCCGGAAUUAUUGGGCGUAAAGAGCUCGUAGGCGGUCUGUCGCGUCGGAUGUGAAAAUCCAGGGCUCAACCCUGGACCUGCAUUCGAUACGGGCAGACUAGAGUUCGGUAGGGGAGACUGGAAUUCCUGGUGUAGCGGUGAAAUGCGCAGAGAUCGGGAGGAACACCCGUAGCGAAGGCGGCACUCUGGGCCGGUACUGACGCUGAGGAGCGAAAGCGUGGGGAGCGAACAGG
rnacentral:rRNA from 1 species